rnacentral:rRNA from 1 species
AGUUUGAUCCUGGCUCAGAACGAACGCUGGCGGCAUGCCUAAUACAUGCAAGUCGAACGAGAUCUUCGGAUCUAGUGGCGCACGGGUGCGUAACGCGUGGGAAUCUGCCCUUGGGUUCGGAAUAACUUCUGGAAACGGAAGCUAAUACCGGAUGAUGACGUAAGUCCAAAGAUUUAUCGCCCAAGGAUGAGCCCGCGUAGGAUUAGCUAGUUGGUGGGGUAAAGGCCCACCAAGGCGACGAUCCUUAGCUGGUCUGAGAGGAUGAUCAGCCACACUGGGACUGAGACACGGCCCAGACUCCUACGGGAGGCAGCAGUAGGGAAUAUUGGACAAUGGGCGAAAGCCUGAUCCAGCAAUGCCGCGUGAGUGAUGAAGGCCUUAGGGUUGUAAAGCUCUUUUACCCGGGAUGAUAAUGACAGUACCGGGAGAAUAAGCNCCGGCUAACUCCGU